rnacentral:rRNA from 1 species
GAAUUCGCCCUUAGAGUUUGAUCCUGGCUCAGGACGAACGCUGGCGGCGUGCCUAAUACAUGCAAGUCGAACGGAGAUAUUCGCUGAUGAAGUACUUCGGUAAUGAAUCUUGGAUAUCUUAGUGGCGGACGGGUGAGUAACGCGUGAGCAACCUGCCUUUCAGAGGGGGAUAACGUUUGGAAACGAACGCUAAUACCGCAUGACAUUAUCUUAUCGCAUGGUAGGAUAAUCAAAGGAGCAAUCCGCUGAAAGAUGGGCUCGCGUCCGAUUAGGUAGUUGGUGGGGUAACGGCCCACCAAGCCGACGAUCGGUAGCCGGACUGAGAGGUUGGACGGCCACAUUGGGACUGAGACACGGCCCAGACUCCUACGGGAGGCAGCAGUAAGGGAUAUUGGUCAAUGGGGGAAACCCUGAACCAGCAACGCCGCGUGAGGGAAGACGGUUUUCGGAUUGUAAACCUCUGUCCUCUGUGAAGAUGAUGACGGUAGCAGAGGAGGAAGCUCCGGCUAACUACGUGCCAGCAGCCGCGGUAAUACGUAGGGAGCGAGCGUUGUCCGGAUUUACUGGGUGUAAAGGGUGCGUAGGCGGCUUGGCAAGUCAGUAGUGAAAUCCAUGGGCUUAACCCAUGAACUGCUAUUGAAACUGUCGAGCUUGAGUGAAGUAGAGGUAGGCGGAAUUCCCGGUGUAGCGGUGAAAUGCGUAGAGAUCGGGAGGAACACCAGUGGCGAAGGCGGCCUACUGGGCUUUAACUGACGCUGAGGCACGAAAGCGUGGGUAGCAAACAGGAUUAGAUACCCUGGUAGUCCACGCUGUAAACGAUGAUUACUAGGUGUGGGUGGACUGACCCCAUCCGUGCCGGAGUUAACACAAUAAGUAAUCCACCUGGGGAGUACGGCCGCAAGGCUGAAACUCAAAGGAAUUGACGGGGACCCGCACAAGCGGUGGAGCAUGUGGUUUAAUUUGAAGCAACGCGGAGAACCUUACCAAGUCUUGACAUCCUGUUGACCGUCCCUUAGCCGGGACUUUCCUUCGGGACAGCAGAGACAGGUGGUGCAUGGUUGUCGUCAGCUCGUGUCGUGAGAUGUUGGGUUAAGUCCCGCAACGAGCGCAACCCUUAUCCUUAGUAGCCAGCAAUACGGAUGGGAACUCUAGGGAGACUGCCGGAGACAAUCCGGAGGAAGGUGGGGAUGACGUCAAAUCAUCAUGCCCCUUAUGACUUGGGCUACACACGUGCUACAAUGGUGGUAACAAAGUGAAGCGACCCCGUGAGGGUAAGCCAACCACAGAAAAGCCAUCUCAGUUCGGAUUGUAGUCUGCAACUCGACUACAUGAAGCUGGAAUCGCUAGUAAUCGCAGAUCAGAAUGCUGCGGUGAAUACGUUCCCGGGUCUUGCACACACCGCCCGUCA